GUAGCAUUAUGGGACUGGUGAGAGCUGCAUGUGUGACGCUCUUUAGAAGUAUGACAACCAUGGCUCAACACAGAUUCAUCGAUAUUGGUGUGAACCUGACAGAUCCCAUGUUCAGAGGACUCUACAGAGGGAAGCAGAAACACGACGAUGACUUUGAUCAGAUCAUUGACAGAGCUGUCAUAACUGGAGUGGAAAAGUUUAUGAUCACAGGAGGAAACCUUGAAGACAGCAGGGAGGCUCUGAAACUAGCUGAGACCAGAGAUGAGUUUUACUGCACAGUCGGCUGCCAUCCGACCCGCUGCAGUGAGUUUGAGCAGAACGGAGAGUCACAGUACCUCUCAGGGCUGAGGGAGCUGGCAGCGGCAAACAGAGGAAAGGUGGUGGCCAUCGGAGAGUGUGGACUGGACUUUGACAGGUUAGAAUUUUGCCCAAAAGAGACUCAACUCAAAUACUUUGAGAAGCAGUUUGACCUGGCAGAGGAGACCAAGCUGCCCAUGUUCCUCCACUGCAGAAACUCCCAUCAGGAGUUUAUCGACAUCAUGAAGAGAAAUAGAGACCGAUGUGUCGGCGGAGUGGUUCACUCAUUUGAUGGGACAGUGGAGGACACUGCUGCCAUCAUUGACCUGGAUCUCUACAUUGGAAUCAAUGGAUGUUCCUUGAAAACUGAGGCCAAUAUUGAAGCCAUGAAGUCUAUCCCUACUGAAAGACUCAUGAUAGAAACAGAUGCUCCGUGGUGUGGCAUAAAGAACACUCAUGCUGGCUCCAGAUUUGUAAAAACUACUUUUCCCACGAAGAAGAAAUGGGAGGCGGGGCACUGUCUGAAGGACAGGAACGAGCCCUGUCACAUCAUACAAGUUCUAGAGGUGAUGGCAGCAGCGAGGGAAGAAGACCCGCUGGAGCUGGCCAACACAAUCUACAACAACACCAUCAAAGUCUUCUUCAUCUCGAGCUGAUGAACAGAUUAAACCUUCAGAAAACCAACUGAUAUGGCCUCCAUGAAUGUGUGUGUCUGUCAGUGUGUGUGCCUGUCUGAAUGAUGGAUAAAACUCUCUCAUUGCCAAUUUUGCAAACCUGAGAUGAAAAAUAUCUGCACUAUCUUUUCACAUUUAAUCAGUUUGCUACUCAAUAUUAGACUACAUGUGCAUUACACUUUACAAAUCACAGUGGAUCUAAAAAAGAGCACAAAACAUUAGUGCAAAAACAUUCUGAAACGUUCACAUUUAAUGAACAUGACAUUUACAAAACAGAUGAUGAGCAGCCUGAGAUUUCUUAAGAAAAAUACUGCAGUUUUAACAAUGUCUUAGUUUUUCUACAUUCAGUCAGUCUACCACUGACAGUCAUUACAUGUGCAUUUUUACAUACAUUUGUGCAGUUAUGCUGGCUUCACCACAGCAAACUAAAGUGGAAGCUGUUGAAACAGGUCGUGUUAUCUCCUGCCUUACAAACCACUUACAAAUCAAAAGUUUUGGCAGUGCUGUAGCAAUAGAUAAUUUGUACUAAAGCUGCAAAUGACAAGUUGACAAAAUUUUCCACAGUGCUCAAUAUCUUUGAAAAUGACCACAAUAAGUAUUCAUUUUUCAGAGAACUGUAUUUUGGUCAGAUUGGAAAAGCCUCUGAAGCAGCAUUUUACGUGAAGUACACUGAAAAAAUAACAUGUUGGAUUUACUUAAUUCAAUAGUGGACAUUGGUUGCACGCAGAUCAUUUGCUUCAACAGCAUCUUACAAAAUUGUGUUAAAUCAACCCUAACCAUUUAUAUGCAAUCAGCACAAGUACAUUGUGUUGACAUAACCGAAUUGAAAUGCGAUUCAAUAAAGUAAUUUCAACAGUUUGUUCAUUUUACUCCUACACAAUUUGUUCACUUUAUUCCAGUGUUUUUCAUUUCCUUUUAUUCACUUAUUACUUAACUUCAACAGUAUUUGUUAUUAUAAUAUUGCAAUGCCAAUUAAG